rnacentral:lncRNA from 1 species
UUGAUGUGUCAUCCUCGACUUCUUCAUAACAGGAAACAGGACAUUCUCUAAGAGAACCAUUAUUGCGAGGAUUUGAAUUAUCCCUGCUUGAAGGUCUCUUAUGGAACCAGAAGUCUAAACCAUUAGCAUCUGAAAGAUUUAAGGUCGGAAUUCCUUCCUCCCUUGAAGAAUUUUGGGGUAUUGAUGGUUUAGGAUCGAUAGCUAAAGUUUGGAAUUGAAGUGGUUAUGAUCUGGCUAUCGAAACUUCUUCUUCUUGUCUAGGAACUGGUUUUGUCUCUUUCUCAGGGAUAUAAAAGCUAGGAGACUUUCCACUUAAUAAAUCAAUCAAAUUCCAAGCUUUACUAGCAGGUAGGUGAUAGAAGGAUCCUCUACAGGCUGUAUUCAACGUUUGCUUAUUUUCCCCACUAAGGCCCUCAAAAAAGUGAAUUAGAAGAACUUCUUCUGGAAUAGAAAGCUUUGGGCCAGUGAGAGUAAGGUUAAUAAAGCGGUCUCAUGAUUUCCUAAGAGAUUCUUCUUCUAGUUGCCUAAAAGAAAUAAUCUCACGCCAAAGUUCCGCCACUUUAGAGAUUGGAAAAUAUUUUAAAAGAAAACUAUUAUGUAACUCCUUCCAAUCUCCAUGAACACUCCCUAUUUUGAGUUUGUACCAAUGUCUAGCUUUUCCCGUUAAACAGAACGGAAAGAGCUUCCAUUUAAGGGUCUCAUCAGACAUGCUUUCUAUGCGAAGGAGGUCACAGACUUGAUAAAACUCUCUUAGGUGUGUGUAUGGGUUUUCCUCACCUUCUCCUGAGAAAGGUUGUUUUUAAACAAAUUCUAUGUAUUCGGGGUCUAUCUCAAAACUAGAUGCUAUAAUAGGCUUUGAAGAUUUUGGUGGUUCGAGAUGUGUGCCCGUAGGUCUAUGAAAUUCAUAGAUAGACAUGUUUGAAUUCAUGAUAGACCAGAGAUCAAGGUUAGCAGAGAUGAGGCAAAGGAUAAAAGGAAAAUAUUUUUUUUUUAUUUUUUUUAGAAAAUGAUUAAGCUAGUUCGUAGUCAACUCAACAACCGUUUCCCCGGCAACGGCGCCAAAAAUGCUUGUUGACACUUGCUAACACCACUUGAAUACUAGGUUGUCAUCCCCAGCAUGGCACUAGAGUGUACUAUGGUAUUUAUACGCACACAGAUAAUCCGCAAGCGCACGGAUACCGUUGAAGCUUUUACCCGGUUAAAGGUUUUAUCGUAUCCACAGGGAAACAGGAGGACCGAUCUACGCUCAAACUUAACCAAGAUAAAUAGAUAAGUGUAAAUAGGAAAGAUGGUAGAAUCAAAUAAGAACAAUAUUAAAGGUAAGAUAACAGUGAGUGAUAAUAUGGGAAUAGAGAAUAGAGCAAUUCUAGUAUAUGGGCGAUGGUAGCAGAAUAGAGAGUAUAACUAUGGUUUCUCUACUUCAAAGGGGUAUGUCUAUGUCUGGGACGAACCACGUGAUAAGAGUACACCACAAAUGAUGCUUAUCCUUAGGCCGAUAAACCCUACCCGUCCUGCUAACGAGAGGUGGACUACAGAGGACCGACGUAACUGUCACCUACGCGGCCUACCACACGAUCCAGCUAGACAGGGGAUAUCCACAAGUAAUCUAGGUCUAAGCACCACGCUUACACCUAUACUACAACUCUCACCUAUAGCGUCCUAUAGAUUAGAAUACUCAAAAGAGUUGUGAACCAGAACAUACAUGAUUAGUAAUUGCAUAAUGAAUUAGAAGUAGAUUACCAGAGUCAUCCCAUGAGCAAGCUUGAUUAGAGCUUGAUCAUGACGAAGUACAACCGGAGGAAGAACCGACAGGCCGACCUCUCCUCUAAUCCUCCUUCGCUUUCCAUCUUGCUACUAUCUAGAUCUACUCUAGUUUAGAGAAGAGAGGAGAGCUCUCAUCUCUAAACCCUAGCUUUUGCUCUGUCUAUGAAUAAUGAAUAAUGAUCAAGGGGUGCCUCCUCUAGGGGCCAGGGGGUCUGGUUAUAUAGUCCCCUCAAGUGAACCUAGGCCAUCGGAUCAAACUGACAUUG